AUGAAUCCUAACUUAUGUGUUACUCAUACAUGUGCAGAGGGGAAUAGCAGGUUAUGCGUCUCCGUGAGAGACUACUACUGUUACAUGCUGCAGACACGACCUGGGAUAUUCAAUCCCAUACUCUGUGGAGCACGAUUGCUCCAGCAAUGGAGGGUGGACAUGUACAUCAAGAUUGAGAGUUGUAGGUUGAAAUGGUACAGGAAGAACCAGACAAAGAUCCGUGCCGACCUGUAUAAAGGAGUUGUUGAUGCAAUUACAUCCGGGGAGACAUGGGCAAGUGCUGUUGGAGUAAGGAUAGUGCUCCCUGGAACGUACCCAGGUGGCGACUGUGACAUGAAGCGGAGGCAUAUGGAUGCCAUGGCAAUUUUCCAUACAUACGGGAAGCCUGACAUCUUCUUGACCAUGACCUGCAACCCUAACUGGGAAGAGAUAACGAAUGAGUUGAUUCCUGGUCAGACAGCGCAAGACCGACCUGAUCUUGUGGCCCGUGUGUUCCAUGGCAAGCUUGAGGCUAUGAAAGAGAUGUUGUUCAAGAAGAAUAUCCUGGGUGUUGUUGUCGCACAUGUAUACGUAGUCGAGUUCCAGAAGAGGGGCCUCCCCCACGCACACUUUUUGUUGAUCAUGGAUUCUUCCUAUAAGCUUGUCGUUCCAGAGCAGUACGACCGACUCAUUUCUGCCGAGCUCCCAGACAAGCAGAAGUAUCCAGAACUCCACGCCUUGGUGGUCAAACAUAUGAUGCACGGACCAUGCGGUGCUCUCAACCCCAAAAAUGUGUGCAUGCAAUAG
rnacentral:rRNA from 1 species